rnacentral:rRNA from 1 species
ACGGGUGAGUAACGCGUGGGUAACCUGCCUCAUACAGGGGGAGUAACAGUUGGAAACGGCUGCUAAUACCGCAUAAGCGCACAGUGCUGCAUGGCACAGUGUGAAAAACUCCGGUGGUAUGAGAUGGACCCGCGUCUGAUUAGCUAGUUGGUGGGGUAACGGCCUACCAAGGCGACGAUCAGUAGCCGACCUGAGAGGGUGACCGGCCACAUUGGGACUGAGACACGGUCCAAACUCCUACGGGAGGCAGCAUG